rnacentral:rRNA from 1 species
CUCAAAGAUUAAGCCAUGCAAGUGGUUUAUAUUAACCCGACAGUUUAAAUAAGUGUUAGAUGCUAUUUAAAAAUCCUACUUUACAGUGAUUUUAAACUGGUUUUCACAUCAGUAUCACUUACGCAACUGCAGACAGCUGCUUAAUACAGUCACACUUGUCUUGACUUGGCGCUAUAACAAUGGCAUAAAUAUUUUAUGCUUUUUGUUUUCUUACUUCUAAAUCGCAACCCGAUAUAGAAUGAUUUCUCUGUAACGCUAUUCAUAAAAAAUACACGUUACACCGUGCAAUUUUCUUUUUGGAUAACUCAGGGAAAGUUUGGCUAAUACGUACGAGUUUUUACACAAAAUACACACACACACACAAAUAUAUGCACGCAUUGCUGUCUCUUAUUGCACACACAAAAGACUGGCAAUGACACAAAUUAUUACUCAGCACUUAUUGGUAAAUUUUGAUCGCAUCUUUUUGAUGCUUUCAGUUUAAAAUUUAACUGCAACAUGAGAGACAAUAAGUACGCACGUGCCUUGCCUUUUUGGCAUUGCACAUUUUUGCUGAGCAGACUUUGCGAAGUUUACUUUGCGAAGCAGGUCAUACAAGCAUCUACAGCAUCAAGUCACAGGGUUGGCAAGUGUAUUUUUGAACCUUCAAAGCAGUCACGCAUACGGAAGAGUAGUUUCUGAUCCCAUAGAAGGAGCACCGUACAUUGAGAGACCGCUCUUAGUUCUAAGGAACGCAGCAGGCGCGUAAAUUGCCCAAUGCUAGUACCCUACAAUGUUUACUGCAUUAACAAUUUACAACGAAAUAAAAUAAAUUUUAUUUAGCGUUAAAUUAUUAUAUAACACUUUCUCUAUUUUCGCUGUCAAUAAAAAAAUUUAUCCUUGUUACGUUGUUAUUCAGUUAAAUAUUUCAUUUACUGAGGCAGUGACAAGCUGUAACGGUUGAGUAUUUUAAUGACAAGUGUCUGGCAUUGCCGCCUGGUUCGCCAGGCUUGGCAGUUCGCCGACGCUUUGUGUGCUCAAUUGGAAUGCGGUGAGUUUAAGCAACUCAGAACCUUUGACUGGUGAUUUUGAAAUAUAUUUCACUGUUCUUGUAUCUGAAUUUCAAGUGGAGGGCAAGUCUGGUGCCAGCAGCCGCGGUAAUACCAGCUCCACUGGCCUAUACAAUCAUUGUUGCGGUUAAGAGGCUCGUAGUUGGAUUGAAUUGCAAAAAACUUGCGUAAUUUUUUUACUGCGUAUAUCAUACACACACACACACACGCAUGAUCCUGCAGUUGGUAUAUUUACGCAUAUUUUUUCAACACUGUGAACAAAUCAGAGUGUACCAAACAUGCUUUUUUUGUGCAUUGAAUGUCUUAUCAUGGGAUGUUGCACUUAAAAAUUGUUUUCUAAAAAAAAGACAAAACACGCAUUACAUACACACAACUUUUGCGUGAAUCAUUUUUUUUAGGAUACAGCUUAAAUGUCGAUGGGGAUAGUUGGAGUCAAGAGUACUGCUGGGCGAGAGGUGAAAUUCAUUGACCCUAGUAAGACUACCAAAAGCGAAAGCACUUGACUAGGCUAUACUCUUUGUGAUUUUGUACGCCAAACAUUUUCAAUACAUACACACACACACACACACAUGCAUUGAAAUGGUUUGCACUGUACAUCACUUUACAAUGAAGAACGAAGGUUGGGGGAUCAAAGAGGAUCAGAUACCCUAGUCGUCCCAUUAAUUACAUCAAACGAUGGGCUCUCAAUUGCAUAUUUUUUUUAAUUUGCAAAUGCCCUCAGCCUACAAAAUAUUUGGCUUGAGCUCGUGAUUUAUUUCACGCUCGCCUUACUUUUUCUGUACGGUCUUGAUGGACGGUUUCAUUUUAUACUUUUUUUGCGUGUAAGCAUUUUGUAUUCUUUUAGACUACAUUGCGUGCACUUGAUUUUCGGAGCUUUGCGCUCAAUUCUGGUGAGAUGUAAGCAUUAGGCCAUUCUACCCUCUGCUACUGCUUCGGCGGUUAGUCUGUUGUGUGUAGAUGGCUGUUUUGGUGUGAAGCACGCUUUAGGCACGCGCUUACUGCAGAAAUGUCUGAGACAUUCCCCUCCGGGGGUAGUAUGCACGCAAGUGUGAAACUUGAAGGAAUUGACGGAAGGGCACCACAAGAACGCGUGGAGCAUGUGGCUUAAUUUGACUCAACGCGGGAAAUCUUACCGGGUCCGGACACACUGAGGAUUGACAGGCAAUAUUGAAUUAUUUUUAAUAAUUCAUGUUAAAUAUGCUAGUCCUUUCAUGAUUAUGUGAUAGGUGGUGCAUGGCCGUUCUUAGUUCGUGGAGUGAUCUGUCUGCUUAAUUGCGUUUCACAUAGGGCCUAUAAACACGUGUGUUGCACUUUCUCUUUGACCCCUUCUUCCUUUUUGGAUUUAGCGUGUGUCUUUGAGGAUUAUGCUCGCACAAGUAGGUCCUGAAAGCAACGAACGUGACCGCAACCUCUUGUUGUCCUUUACACAAUCCUUCGCUUUUGUCUUUUGACUUUCGCGGAGUAACAGGGACUAUCUAAACUAGAGGGACCGCUGUAAUCUUUUUAAACCAGAGGAAGGUUGCGGCAAUAACAGGUCUGUGAUGCCCUUAGAUGUUCCGGGCUGCACACGUGCUACAAUGAUUAUUGCAGUGAGCAUCUCAUACUACACACCGCUUGCGCGAAGUCACUUUUGCGUAUCUCAAUUCGUAAUUGUGAUCUUUUGCGCGCGGUAAAGCCUGCUUCGAAAGUAAGCGGGUAAUCAAUUAGAAGUAAUGAUUUCCUUUUUUUCGCACACAUAUAUACGGCAUUGUUACCCGGAAUAGGCUCGUUCUUAUUUUUUGUGUGUAUCAAUGUUCCGUAUGUGCAAUUGUCAAUUCAUGGUGGGGACAGACCAUUGUUAAUUGUUGGUCUCGGUCUUAACUAGGAAUGCCUUGUACGGGUCUUUGGUUCAACAGACCACCCGGAAUACGUCCCUGCCCUUUGUACACACCGCCCGUCGCUCUUACCGAUGGACUUCUCUGUGAGUUUGAGGGACUGGAACUUUGUAUUUUUAUGCAAUACCUCUAUGGAAACUUAAACGAACAGUGUGGUCUAAAGGAAAGAGAAGUCGUAACAAGGCAUCGGUAGGUGAACCU